rnacentral:rRNA from 1 species
GGACUACCGGGGUAUCUAAUCCCAUUCGCGACCCACGCUUUCGUGUUUCAGCGUCAGGAACAGGCCAGUCUCUUGCCUUCGCAUUCGGUGUUCCCCAUGAUAUCAACGCAUUUCACCGCUACACCAUGAGUUCCAGAGACCUCUCCCAUCCUCAAGCCGUGCCGUUUCCCACGCAGCCUCUCGGUUGAGCCGAAAGAUUUAACGCAAGACUAACACAGCCGCCUACACACCCUUUACGCCCAAUGAUUCCGGAUAACGCUUGAAGCACUCGUAUUACCGCGGCGGCUGGCAC